rnacentral:rRNA from 1 species
GACGAACGCUGGCGGCGUGCUUAACACAUGCAAGUCGAACGGAAAGGCCCUGCUUUUGUGGGGUUCUCGAGUGGCGAACGGGUGAGUAACACGAGAGUAACCUGCUCUUCACUUUGGGAUAACUUCAGGAAACUGGGGCUAAUCCCGUACAGCAGCCCCUGCUGCAUGGUGGGGGUUGGAAAUUUUCGGCGGUUUGGGAUGGACUCGCGGCUUAUCAGCUUGUUGGUUGGGUAGUUGCUUACCAAGGCUUUGACGGGUAGCCGGCAUGAGAGGGUGACCGGGCACAAUGGGACUGAGAGACGGCCCAGACUCCUACGGGAGGCAGCGGGGGGGAAUAUUGCACAGUGAGCGGAAGCCUGAUGCGGAAACGCCGGGUGCGGAAAGACGGCCUUCGGGUUGUAAACCGCUUUCGCCUGAGACGAAGCGUGAGUGACGGUAAUGGGUAAAGAAGCACCGGCUAACUACGUG